rnacentral:lncRNA from 1 species
AUGGAGCGCUUCAGUCAGGUGAUCCAGGCGGCUCAUUGGGAUCUGGAGGGGGAGCAGCAUUGGGACGUCCUGAGAGAUCGGCUGGACCACCUCGAUCGCCUGGAGAAGGUCAACCGGGAGGUCAAGCUAGCCUACAUCGCCAGGCUGCAUGAGAAAGAUCUCGAUUUAGCAGAUUUCGAAGAGCAGGACUUCUCCGAUGUUUUGGACGAAAUGGGGAACAUCGAUAUGUCCUGGAAGUUGUAUAAAGGACGUGGAGGAACACUGGCAGAGUCUCAGGAGUUUUCUGAUGCUGGCGUGGACCUCACUGCGCCGUCUGAUUGUGAUGAAUCUGUGGUUUCGGAUUCCCUCACUCCUUCCCCCGUCAAUCCGCCCCCAAGACCCCCCAAACCCCCUGCUCGCCACGCCAGCGUGAACUCUGACCUCCACACUUACAUAAACAUAAGCAGGGAGACCACCUCCAUCGCUGUCUCCACUUGCCCCACGCCAACUUUCUCCACCUUCUCCCCAAACUCGUCCCCCACCUUCUCCACUUUCCGGUGCGAAAAAGCCCUUCCACCAUCUCCGCCAUCCAUCCCUCCUCUCCCUGCCUCCCAGCCCCUUCCAUACCUGACCCUCUACACGGCUCCACUACCCCCUCUGUUGCCCACCCCGACUCCUCCUAUCCCUCCCCCUCGGAGGCGCCACCUGGCCAGGAAGGAAGCUCAGCGGCUGGCUAAUCUGCAGGCCCUGCAAGAGAAGACCCCGCUGUCUCUGCCCCCUCCCACCACACGCCCUCCUCCUCUGCCUCCCCCGCCGACCAUCUCAGUCUCCUGCUCAUCGGCGUCCUGCUCUCCCCCUGAAAUACCACAACCACCCCCUCUUCCCCCUCCGCCCUCCUUCCAUGCAUUAGAUGUGGAGAUUCGGAAGCUGUUGAUGCUGGCAGGGCUAACCCAGGCCGAGCUCCUUAAACUCAGCCCAGAGCUUGGUGACUGUGUGGGAGAGUUAGAGGAGGAGGGGGACGGCCACACCAUUUCUCUGAGGUCUAACGAGGCCAAAGAAAUACGGCAGUUCAAAGGUUUAGAAUGCGAUGUGGCCGUCAUCAGAGAUGCCUGGAGCAACAAAGAGGAGCUGGAUGCAGUAAAAAGGAUAGAAGUCAGGGAAGGAAAGAAGGAAGAUGGGAGCCACGACACACUGAGAACCACCUCGUUCACAGAGAUGGCCAGAAGAAGGAAGAGAACAACUGGGCUCAUGUCUGAAGCAUACUACAGCACCGAAACGUUCAACUUCUCCCCUCCCCUUUCGGAUUCUCCUCCCCCUCCGCCUCCCCGGCCCCUCCCCCCUGUGCCUCCAUCCCUGCCCCCCUCCAAAGCUUGUACCCUUUCAGCCAAUUCUGCACGGCCCGAGAGAUUUGAUUGGCUCAUCGCAUUCACACCUGAUAAGGAAGCCCAACUGCUGCCUCAACCCCUGGAGAUGGCAAAUGCUGAGGUGGCACACCAAAGAAGCUGA